UACCCGCAGCACAAGUGGUGGUCAUUAUUAUUGGGCCUAAAGCGUCCGUAGCUGGCUUGUUAGAUGCCUGGGUAAAUCGAUGCGCUCAACGUAUCGAAUUCCGGGUAGACCGGCAAGCUCGAGACCGGGAGAGGUGUAGGCUACUCGAGGGGUAGGGGUAAAAUCCUGUAAUCCUUCGGGGAGGACCAGUGGCGAAGGCGCUACACUAGAACGGCUCUGACAGUGAGGGACGAAGCCCUGGGGAGCAAACCGG
rnacentral:rRNA from 1 species